rnacentral:rRNA from 1 species
GACGUAGGGCGCGAGCGUUGUCCGGAUUUAUUGGGCGUAAAGAGCUCGUAGGCGGCUUGUUGCGUCGUCCGUGAAAACCUGUGGCUCAACUACAGGCUUGCGGUCGAUACGGGCGGGCUGGAGUUCGGUAGGGGAGACUGGAAUUCCUGGUGUAGCGGUGAAAUGCGCAGAUAUCAGGAGGAACACCAAUAGCGAAGGCAGCUCGCUGGGACGGUACUGACGCUGAGGCGCGAAAGCGUGGGGAGCGAACAGG